rnacentral:rRNA from 1 species
UACAGAGGCCUCGAGCGUUAGGCGGAAUCACUGGGCUUAAAGCGUGUGUAGGCGGACUUCUAAGUACCCUGUGAAAUCCCACGGCUCACCCGUGGAACUGCUUGGUAUACUGGUUGUCUUGAGCCUUCUAGGGGCGAGUGGAACAAAUGGUGGAGCGGUGAAAUGCGUAGAUAUCAUUUGGAACGCCAAUGGUGAAAACAACUCGCUGGGGAAGUGCUGACGCUGAGACACGAAAGCCAGGGGAGCGAACGGG